ACAAAGUGUGGGAUUUUUAGGCAAUAUAAGUUAUAACCCAUUAUUGUUUUGCAAAAUCCUAUUGUAGUUUAAACAUUUAUGUGCUGCAAACAACGAUAUGAAACAAAAUAGAAUCUGGCAAGAAUUACUCGUAGACAUCAUAAAUGUUCAAUACAACCAGGACAGAAGAAUCUAUGAAUUAAAUAUGUAUUCUGAAUAAGUUUAAAAUCUCUGAGGCUCAUUGCAUAUUUGUAAGCUCAUGGACUUGACAGCCUUGUAGGAAAAACACACAGUGACUCUAGCGCUGUUCUCUGUAUUUAUCAAAAGCACAGUACUUAAGGAGCAUGGUAAAAUAUUGAUAAGGGUGAGUUAAUUUGCCUGAAGGAUACCGAGCAGCCAGUGGGCCUUCUCACAGAGCUGAAAUGUCAACAGUCAAGACAGAAACAUCAUUAAACAGCAGUUCUCCUGGAAGCUUGACAGAACUGACCUGUACUCUGCUGUGCACUCCGAAAGUAAUAAUGAAUAAGUUGAGAUUAUCAAUCACUUACUUUUAUCACAAGCUACUACAAAAUACUUUAAUGUUUAUUAUUUUAGAAUAUAAAAUAUUUUAAGGUACUGUAGCUCAAAAGUGUACCUUGAAAUCAUAAAAUACUUCUAGAGUUAUAACAAUUUGAUUUUAGCUUUAAUUUAUGCCCUGAUAUUUAUUGUUUUGCCCAGUGCCCUCAUUUAUUAAAAAGAAAAACAUGUCUUCAGACAGGGAGUAUUUGUUGUUUUUUUUUUAAUUUUCAUCUUAUUCUUGUAAGAACAAUUUUUAAACCUUAAACAGUGGUGCUUAGAUAUGGUAUAUAAGAAAAUAGUUUGAAGUUUAUACUAGUCAGAAAUAUUUACAACAAUGAAAUGUAUAUAUUAUGAGACUAUAAAUAUGUAUGUAAGAUAUUAAUGGGAAGAAUAUGUACAUAGAAACACAUUCCAUUAAUGUCUAUUAGAUAUACAAAUACAGGUCAAGAUAUACAAAUACAUAACAUUUUUUCAGUUCAGAUUCAUUCUAACAAUAUAUAUCUAAAUAUAUCUAACACUUUAUUGUAUAAUUCUAUAAAUACUUUAUGCAUAUCAUAUUUAAACUUUAUUACUAGAUUAUAUAAUCAUGUUUUCCAUAUAUAUGUGUGUGUGUGUGUGUGUGAUGAGAAUGUAUUUUUCUAACUAAAACUAGUUAACAUAAUUCAAGCUAAAAACAGAAAUAUUUUAUCUACUAACUAUUUUAAAGGUUGAAAUAAACAGUUCUUGGCUGUAUGUUUGUAAUCCUAUAUGUAAUGCUGUGUAAUAAACUUUAUAUGUAAGUAUAUAUAAGGUUCAUUAUGGUAUGAGUUACUCACUUGGUUUGGGAACUGUAGAACUCUCACAAGUCUUUCCAUUUAAUGAAGCACCCCAGGAAAACUGGUAUGCACUCAGAGUUCUGGAAGUCAUAUAUAAUCGUGAGAUGAGAAAAACACGUAGCAGGGCCAGGACUGGUUUACAGUUGGAGCAGCUCCAAAUUGUAAGGCAUACUUUGAGAAGAUAUAAGCUAUUUUCCUCUCAUUACUAUUAUUUCCAGUAAACUGAAGUCUGGUCAACCAUACCAGAGGUCAUAUGCUUCACUGAAGUCAUAUUAAACUCUCUGGCAAAACUUACCAUCCCUCUGCCUGGAUAGAAUAAGAUAAAGAUAAAUUGGCAAUUUUAAAACACACUUGCAAGUAAUCACACCUACUUUGAUUAACUAGGAAUCAGUCCUAAUAUAUAGACCACGAAUUUAAUGUUUAAAUGUAUUUAGCAUCUUCACAAGAAGAAAACUAUCCCGAAAUUGCUUUGGUUUUGGUGAAUAAUAUAGUAGCUUCUUUGAAACUUGGGCUCAAGUACCUAACUUGUUAUAGUUAUUAACUACUCUGAGAAUUUUCCCUGAACUUAUGUUAAUGUGAUAUACAAAGCCUUUCUCUCAUUUUUAAUUACUUUUACAGUUUUUAAAGUCCAGACACUACUCCCCUCCAGAUUUGAUUUGCCCUCUCACAGUUCCUCCUUCCAUUUCCCUUCCCCACGCCCCCCUUUUCUCCAAGAUGGUGUUAAAACUACCCUUGACCACCACUUCACCAGACUUCCCCACUCCCUGGAACCUCAAAUCUCUCAAGGUUAGGUGUAUCUUCUCUGAGUCCAUACCCAGCAGUCCUCUGCUAUAUAUGUGUUGGGGGCCUCACAUCAGCUGGUGUAUGCUCCCUGGUUGGUGGCCCAGUGUCUGACAGAUCUCGGGGAUCCAGGUUAGUUGAGACUGCUGAUUUUCCUAUGGAGUCACCCUCCUCCUCAGCUUCUUUCAGCCUUAUGAAAUUUCAAAUGAUUUUAUUUUACAUUCUGCAAACAACUCUUCAGC
rnacentral:lncRNA from 1 species